GAAUUAAUAGUAGAUGGCCAGCUGGCCCUUUUCAGUUAUAGAUAUUUCCUCCCCUCUCUGACAUUCCCUAAAUUCACGCUGAAAUAUUCCCUCCAUUGGACCCUCUCUCAUUUUAUUUUGAGCAUAGUAUAUAUACACUCAUUGGCAUAGAAUUGAAUUCAUGGAUUCACGUCUGCAUUCACCGAUUCUCUCAUAUAGGAAUUCUGUAUUUUUCAGAAAACAUCACUAACUCUCCAAAUUUCAGAAUCUUUUCUUCAUUUUUACCUUGAAUUCUUGGCAGAAAACUUGACAUUCUUCUGUCCACACUGAUUCCUUUUAAAAACAAAAUCUAAAGUUCAAAAAUAGAUAUAGAAAACGAAAAAGGAAAAAAAAGGAAGGGACAAAGUUAUUUUGUUCUUCUAUCUUUACUGGUUUGCUUCAUCUUUUGUCUGUGAUUUCGAAUAGCUUUCAAGCUGUUGGAACUGUGUGUUCGAUUGUGAGCUUGCUGCUAUUUUUGUUAGUUGGAUCUUCACUUUCCAUCUUUGAUUCAGAUUUGUCAAGUUUCAUCUCUUGAUUCUGCUUCUAGUAAGGCUUUGGCCUCAUGACCUCAUUACUACUCUACCGAGGUUAGGCUUGACACUUAUUGGGUACCGUUGUGGUAUACUCAUGCUACGCUUCUGCACAUCUUUUGUAUAGAUCCAGGUACCUCCUACCAAUCGAGGCAUCAGUAAGCUAUGUUCGUACUUGGAGUCUUCAAGGUACACCUGUCGGUGUCCGCAUGCCGCAGAGUCACUUUCUAUCUAUUUCUAUGUUUUUCCUCUUUUUAUUAGAUACGGUUGUAUAGGGAUGACUAUGAUACCGUUGUAUAUCUUGUGAUUCGAUAUCACCAAGUUUUGGGAAAAUUGUAUAUGUUGAGCAGCGGAGUUUAUUUUAUAUAGUUGCAGAGUAUUUAAGAGCUUAUUUGAUAUUUCAA